rnacentral:rRNA from 1 species
AAUGGGCGAAAGCCUGACCCAGCAACGCCGCGUGAAGGAAGAAGGUUUUCGGAUUGUAAACUUCUGUCCUCAGGGAAGAAGGAAGUGACGGUACCUGAGGAGGAAGCCCCGGCUAACUACGUGCCAGCAGCCGCGGUAAUACGUAGGGGGCGAGCGUUGUCCGGAAUGACUGGGCGUAAAGGGCGCGUAGACGGCUGUCUAAGUCUGGAGUGAAAGUCCUGCUUUCAAGGUGGGAAUUGCUUUGGAGACUGGAUGGCUUGAGUGCGGAAGAGGUAAGUGGAAUUCCCAGUGUAGCGGUGAAAUGCGUAGAGAUUGGGAGGAACACCAGUGGCGAAGGCGACUUACUGGGCCGUAACUGACGUUGAUGCGCGAAAGCGUGGGGAGCGAA